rnacentral:rRNA from 1 species
UACGGAGGGGGCUAGCGUUGUUCGGAAUUACUGGGCGUAAAGCGCACGUAGGCGGCUUUGUAAGUUAGAGGUGAAAGCCCGGGGCUCACUCCGGAAUUGCCUUUAAGACUGCAUCGCUAGAAUUGUGGAGAGGUAAGUGGAAUUCCGAGUGUAGAGGUGAAAUUCGUAGAUAUUCGGAAGAACACCAGUGGCGAAGGCGACUUACUGGACACAUAUUGACGCUGAGGUG